GAUGAACGCUAGCGGCAGGCCUAAUACAUGCAAGUCGAGGGGGCAGCGCGGUAGCAAUACUGGCGGCGACCGGCGCACGGGUGCGUAACACGUAUGCAACCUACCUUCAACUGGAGGAUAGCCCGGGGAAACUCGGAUUAAUACUCCAUAACACAGGGAUCCCGCAUGGGAAUAUUGUUAAAGCUACGGCGGUUGAAGAUGGGCAUGCGUUCGAUUAGCUAGUUGGUGUAGGUAACGGCUCACCAAGGCUACGAUCGAUAGGGGGUCUGAGAGGAUGAUCCCCCACACUGGUACUGAGAUACGGACCAGACUCCUACGGGAGCAGCAGUAGGGAAUAUUGGGUCAAGUGGGCGCAAGCCUGAACCAGCUAUGCCGCGUGCAGGAGAAGGCCC
rnacentral:rRNA from 1 species